rnacentral:miRNA from 12 species
UGUACAUGUGUGUACGUGUGUGUGUGUGCAUGUACAUGUGUGUACGUGUGUGUGUGUGCACGUGUGUUACAUUGUGUGUGCGUGUAUGUCUGUGUGUGUACGUGUAUGUGUGUGCAUGUGUGUGUAU